UGGGGAAUAUUGCACAAUGGGCGCAAGCCUGAUGCAGCCAUGCCGCGUGUAUGAAGAAGGCCUUCGGGUUGUAAAGUACUUUCAGCGAGGAGGAAGGCGUUGUGGUUAAUAACCGCAGCGACUGACGUUACUCGCAGAAGAAGCACCGGCUAACUCCGUGCCAGCAGCCGCGGUAAUACGGAGGGGGCAAGCGUUAAUCGGAAUUACUGGGCGUAAAGCGCACGCAGGCGGCCUGUCAAGUCGGAUGUGAAAUCCCCGGGCUCAACCUGGGAACUGCAUCCGAAACUGGCAGGCUAGAGUCUUGUAGAGGGGGGUAGAAUUCCAGGUGUAGCGGUGAAAUGCGUAGAGAUCUGGAGGAAUACCGGUGGCGAAGGCGGCCCCCUGGACAAAGACUGACGCUCAGGUGCGAAAGCGUGGGGAGCAAACA
rnacentral:rRNA from 1 species